rnacentral:lncRNA from 1 species
CCGGCCCGGAGAAAAGUUCCCUCCCGGGGGCUGCAGGACCCUUCUCCCGGCGGGACCCGUGCCCCGGGGGGGCUCCGUGCCCGGCUCCUUACAGAGAUAAGACCGGGAAGACAGCUGCCUUCAGAUGAUACAGAAUUCACUGACAGUUGCUCUUGCUCCAAUCCUGCUUCAUGAGAACUUCAGAAGAUACUAACUGAGGUAUUUAUUUGUUCUUUUUAGAAUUUCUACUUUGCAGAUAUUUGAUAGGUAGAAGAACAGACAAAAGUCAUCAGGAAUAGAGACCAAGAGGGGUAAUCAGACAGGGAAAAUAGCACAGAAGUUCUGUCCAAAAAGAGCUACAAUGUCAUGUAAUCUAAUCUCUUUCUAUAGCUGGGCACUAUGUUACAUGUACAUUGAGAAAUAAGUUAAUUACAGAUAUGCCAAAAGGAAA